AAGAUUAAGCCAUGCAUGUCUAAGUAUAAGCAAAUUGUACGGUGAAACUGCGAAUGGCUCAUUAAAUCAGUUAUAGUUUAUUCGAUAGUACCUUACUACAUGGAUACCUGUGGUAAUGCUAGAGCUAAUACAUGCUUAAAACCUCGACUUGGGAAGAGGUGUAUUUAUUAGAUAAAAACCAAUGCCCUUCGGGGCUUUCUGGUGAUUCAUAAUAACUUGUCGAAUCGCAU
rnacentral:rRNA from 1 species